ensembl:rRNA 5S_rRNA 5S ribosomal RNA
AUCUACAGUCAUGCCACACUGAACAAGCCUGAUCUCGUCUGAUCUUGGAAGCUAAGCAGGGUCAGGCCUGAUUAGUUAGUACUUGGAUGGGAGAUCACCUCCUGGUGCUGUAGGUU